GCUCGCCGGACCACCAGAAAAGAGGGGAAAACAAAGCCCUAGUAGCUGCCCUCUUUUCUAGCCAAGCACAGCAGCCACUGGAGCUAGCUGUGGCCUUCGCCGGAGCUCGCCAAGACAACCGGUGAAAAAGGGAAAAGCAGCCCUAGCUGCUGUCCUUUUCUUGGCAGCACCGCCGGAGUUCGCCAUAGCUCGCUGGAGCUAGCUGAAACGGCCAGCGACGAAGGGAAAACAACCCUAGUUGUUGUCAUCUUUUUUUCAGCAAUCAAAGUAACACGUAAAAGACACGAGCUCGAGUGGAGCGCGGUGACCUGCCGACACUCGAAGAUUUUACUGUAUAUAAAUUUUGCAGGUGCAGGGAUCCUUUUGAUAUUGUAGUUGAUUUUGGACUUCCAUAGAGUUGCUCAAAGAUCACGACGUGCUGAUUUUCUGAUUUGUUUUACUUUUGUUUCGUUGUAUUUACAAUCUGAAA